GACGAAGGUGGCGAGCGUUGUUCGGUAUCACUGGGCUUAGAGCGUGUGUAGGCGGAAGAGUAAGCGUCAUGUGAAAUCCCCCGGCUCAACCGGGGAAUUGCACGGCGAACUGCUUUUCUUGAGGCAAGUAGGGGUGCAUGGAACUCUUGGUGGAGCGGUGGAAUGCGUAGAUAUCAAGAGGAACGCCGGUGGUGAAAACGGUGCACUGGGCUUGUCCUGACGCUGAGACACGAAAGCGUGGGGAGCGAACGGGAUUAGAUACCCGCGUA
rnacentral:rRNA from 1 species